AGAAUUUGAUCUUGGUUCAGAACGAACGCUGGCGGCAGGCUUAACACAUGCAAGUUGAACGGGAAUCUGAGGAUAGCUUGCUAUCUGAGGAGGAGAGUAGCGCACUGGUGAGUAACACGUGGGAAACGUACAUUGUAGUGGGGAACAACAGAGGGAAAACUUCUGCUAAUACCGCAUACGCCCUGAGGGGGAAAGAUUUAUCGCUAUGAUAUCGGCCCGCGGAAGAUUAGGUAGUUGGUGGGGUAAAGGCCUACCAAGCCUACGAUCUAUAGCUGGUCUGAGAGGACGAUCAGCCACAUUGGAACUGAGACACGGUCCAGACUCCUACGGGAGGCAGCAGUGAGGAAUAUUGGGCAAUGGAGGCAACUCUGACCCAACGCCAUGCCGCGUGAGUGAGUAAGGUUUUAGGAUUGUAAAGCUUCUUUCGGGCGAGAAGAUGAUGACGGUAUCGCCAGAAGAACGCCCCGGACAAACUUCGUGCCAGCCGCCGC
rnacentral:rRNA from 1 species